rnacentral:lncRNA from 10 species
CGGCCUUUGGUGCAGCUGUAAGUCGGAUGGAAUCCACCUUCCUGACGUCAGACCCACCCACUGGAACACUGCUCCUCUGACUGGGGCUUCCCUGAAUGGAAACUACAUGUCAUACUGCAAAAACAACUUCUGAAAGAGAAAAAAGUCUUUGUCUCAGUUUCUGCUCUCCAGAGGUAACCCAAAGAGGUAAGGAACCCAGUGAGAAAGACAGAGAGAAGUAUGGACAAGAAACAGAUCCUAAACCUGUUUUGUUUUAUUUUUGGUAGUAGUUGUUUAUUUUUGAAAACAUUCAAACCACCUGUAUUGGUGGCUGUUAUUAUGAAAUAAAUAAACUGAGAAACAACA